GAUGAACGCUGGCGGCGUGCCUAAUACAUGCAAGUCGAGCGAACGGACGAGAAGCUUGCUUCCCUGAUGUUAGCGGCGGACGGGUGAGUAACACGUGGAUAACCUACCUAUAAGACUGGGAUAACUUCGGGAAACCGGAGCUAAUACCGGAUAAUAUUUUGAACCGCAUGGUUCAAAAGUGAAAGACGGUCUUGCUGUCACUUAUAGAUGGAUCCGCGCUGCAUUAGCUAGUUGGUAAGGUAACGGCUUACCAAGGCAACGAUGCAUAGCCGACCUGAGAGCGGGAACGACCACGCGGGCACAUAGCACCGGUACAGACGACUGAGGGGAGCAGCAGGGGGGAAGAUUGCGCAAUGGGCGAAAUCAUAACGGAGCAACGCCGCGUGAUUGAUGAAGGUCUUCGGAUCGUAAAACUAUGAUAUUAGAGAAAAACAAAUGUGUAAGUAACUGUGCACGUCUUGACGGUACCUAAUCAGAAAGCCACGGCUAACUACGUG
rnacentral:rRNA from 1 species